rnacentral:rRNA from 1 species
AUAUUGGACAAUGGGCGAAAGCCUGAUCCAGCCAUGCCGCGUGUGUGAAGAAGGUCUUCGGAUUGUAAAGCACUUUAAGUUGGGAGGAAGGGUUGUAGAUUAAUACUCUGCAAUUUUGACGUUACCGACAGAAUAAGCACCGGCUAACUCUGUGCCAGCAGCCGCGGUAAUACAGAGGGUGCAAGCGUUAAUCGGAAUUACUGGGCGUAAAGCGCGCGUAGGUGGUUUGUUAAGUUGGAUGUGAAAUCCCCGGGCUCAACCUGGGAACUGCAUCCAAAACUGGCAAGCUAGAGUAUGGUAGAGGGUGGUGGAAUUUCCUGUGUAGCGGUGAAAUGCGUAGAUAUAGGAAGGAACACCAGUGGCGAAGGCGACCACCUGGACUGAUACUGACACUGAGGUGCGAAAGCGUGGGGAGCAAACAGG